GUGGGGAAUAUUGCACAAUGGGGGAAACCCUGAUGCAGCAACGCCGCGUGAGUGAAGAAGUAUUUCGGUAUGUAAAGCUCUAUCAGCAGGAAAGAAAAUGACGGUACCUGACUAAGAAGCCCCGGCUAACUACGUGCCAGCAGCCGCGGUAAUACGUAGGGGGCAAGCGUUAUCCGGAUUUACUGGGUGUAAAGGGAGCGUAGACGGUUUUGCAAGUCUGAAGUGAAAGCCCGGGGCUUAACCCCGGGACUGCUUUGGAAACUGUAGGACUAGAGUGCAGGAGAGGUAAGUGGAAUUCCUAGUGUAGCGGUGAAAUGCGUAGAUAUUAGGAGGAACACCAGUGGCGAAGGCGGCUUACUGGACUGUAACUGACGUUGAGGCUCGAAAGCGUGGGGAGCAAACAGGAUUAGAUACCCCAGUAGUCC
rnacentral:rRNA from 1 species